GAUGAACGCUGGCGGCGUGCCUAAUACAUGCAGGUCGAGCGAAUGGAUUAAGAGCUUGCUCUUAUGAAGUUAGCGGCGGACGGGUGAGUAACACGUGGGUAACCUGCCCAUAAGACUGGGAUAACUCCGGGAAACCGGGGCUAAUACCGGAUAACAUUUUGAACCGCAUGGUUCGAAAUUGAAAGGCGGCCUCGGCUGUCACUUAUGGAUGGACCCGCGUCGCAUUAGCUAGUUGGUGAGGUAACGGCUCACCAAGGCAACGAUGCGUAGCCGACCUGAGAGGGUGAUCGGCCACACUGGGACUGAGACACGGCCCAGACUCCUACGGGAGGCAGCAGUAGGGAAUCUUCCGCAAUGGACGAAAGUCUGACGGAGCAACGCCGCGUGAGUGAUGAAGGCUUUCGGGUCGUAAAGCUCUGUUGUUAGGGAAGAACAAGUGCUAGUUGAAUAAGCUGGCACCUUGACGGUACCUAACCAGAAAGCCACGGCUAACUACGUGCCAGCAGCCGCAGUAA
rnacentral:rRNA from 1 species